CUGGAAUACACUGUUCUCCUGCCCUUGGACAUAAAAACUCAAGGCUUUCCUGACGUAGGACUCCAGGACUUACACCAGCAGCCCACCAAGAUCUACGUCUAUAUAUCUAUAUUCCAUUAGCCCUGUCUCUCUGGAGAACCCUGACUAGUACAGAGAGGAUCACGAGUAAGCAAGCAGGGCACUGACCUUGGAUGGGCCACUUGACCUCACAGGGGUCUGGUUUUCUGGAGACAAACACCACACAGUGAUGGAGAGAACCUCGUGACAGAGCCUUGCCCAGGUGCACGUGGGGCGGAGUUCAUCACAGCGCUGGCUGGUUUGUUGAAAAGGAGGCCCGGCGGCUGUUCACUGUCUUGACAAACAGCCAGAGAGGCAGGGGAACCCUACACUGUAUACUUUUCUCAGUA